rnacentral:rRNA from 1 species
GACGAACGCUGGCGGCGUGCUUAACACAUGCAAGUGGAGCGACGAACCGGGGCUUGCCCCGGGGCAGAGCCGCGAACGGGUGAGUAACACGUGGGUAACCUGCCUCAAUGAUUGGGACAACCCCGGGGAAACUCGGGCUAAUACCAAAUGUGUUCACUCCUUCUAAGGGGAGUGAGGAAAGGAAGCUUCGGCCUCCGCAUUGAGAUGGGCCCGCGGCCCAUUAGCUUGUUGGUGAGGUAACGGCUCACCAAGGCUUCGAUGGGUAGCUGGUCUGAGAGGACGAUCAGCCACACUGGGACUGAGACACGGCCCAGACUCCUACGGGAGGCAGCAGUGGGGAAUCUUGCACAAUGCGCGAAAGCGUGAUGCAGCAACGCCGCGUUGGGGGAAAGACGGGCCUUCGGGUUGUUAAACCCCCGUUUACACGUUGGG